CCUCGGGCCAGGUUAUGGAGGAAGGUCCCUGCUCACCCAAGCCUGGAGGCUCUACACCCAGCAGGGCACCUGCUGUAGUUCAGAAAAAGGGAUUUGGCUUCAGUCUUCAGAAUGCAUGGAAGCUGCAAAGAAGAGUGAGUUUAAAUCACAGCAGAAUCAGUCCAGUCUCUGCCAAACCCAGAUUCUAAUUCAGGAGCCUGAACCACAGCAGGAGAAACUAAGUAAUUCUCCUGGUGUAGACACUGAACCUCCCACCAGCCCUGCUCCUGUGAGUGUUGGAAGACUCAUCCCAGAUUCGACAUUUAUUUCCAGAAGAGACCUUUAACUUGAAAGGCUGAUUUUAUGACAAAUUCCGCCUUUCUGAAAAGGAUCAACUUCUCAUUUCGAUCAUGAAGGUCAGCAUCGAUAGUGUCCCAGGAGACAGCAUCAACAGGGUAAAGCAAAUGCCUUGAGGCAAGAUCCUGCAUCCGGGAGCAGGGACCAGCUUCUCUUCAGAAAGGAGCUGUGCACCUGAAAAAUGGAGCCUGAAAACAGAUUUUUCAGGGACAUUAAUGACCUCACAUGGAGAAUUUGAAUUCUCAUGGCAAUGUCUUCCACUCAG
rnacentral:lncRNA from 1 species